CACGUAACAGCGUAAAGAUUAUUUUAGAGAUUAAUGUGCGCGAUUUUUUGAAGAUAUAUUUUUGUUCUGCAUCCAGUAAAACACUUAGAGAUAUUUUGAAUCAAACUUUAUCAGGUGGUGCCUUUACUAUAAACUUUUAGAAUGUCAUUGUCCGAGAAAUCAUCUGAAAUUUCCCGAAGCUACAGUCACGAGGAGGUCCGAGAUGAACUGGAUAGACUGAACAGACAACUCGAGGAGAUGAAAGAAACCAUUCUUAAUACAAGCGUCCGCGCACAUUUACUUGAUGCUGACCUAGCUACAUUAUUUGAUCCGCGAAUAGCAGAGGAAUUGCAGACAGCAGAAAAGAAUUGUGAUAAAUGUAUGAAGUUGUUUUAUGGAGAAAAGGCAACGGUAUAAAUCUUCUAGAGGGAAAAAAUGAAGAAAAAACAACAUUAAACAUAUAUGGUUACAGAAUCUUGUUAAGGAACACACAUAUUGA